rnacentral:rRNA from 1 species
UACGUAGGGGGCAAGCGUUGUCCGGAAUCAUUGGGCGUAAAGCGCGUGUAGGCGGCCCGAUAAGUCCGCUGUGAAAGUCCAGGGCUCAACCCUGGGAUGCCGGUGGAUACUGUCGGGCUCGAGUCCGGAAGAGGCGAGUGGAAUUCCUGGUGUAGCGGUGAAAUGCGCAGAUAUCAGGAGGAACACCAAUGGCGAAGGCAGCUCGCUGGGACGUGACUGACGCUGAGGCACGAAGGCCAGGGGAGCAAACGGG